UCAACAGAUAAAGAAGACUCAUGCGCCAGAACAAUAGCUCUAGGUGCAUCGGCGUCAACGACUUUGGCGUAGAGAGGCAAUUGCUUGCCAGCACGGUGGAUGCAGUCCUGAGUGAAGAUUGCCUUUGCCCUAGACAGGCGCAGUCGCGUUGCAAUUUCGCUCUUCGCAAAACUAUCGGCGAUGGAGACUACUACGCAACCCGCUUUGACAAUUCCCAGGUAAAUCGCGACGGAUUCGGCGGUCAUGGGC
rnacentral:misc_RNA from 1 species